rnacentral:rRNA from 1 species
GACAGAGGUCCCAAGCGUUAGGCGGAAUCACUGGGCUUAAAGCGUGUGUAGGCGGACGCGUAAGUGCUUUGUGAAAUCCCACGGCUCACCCGUGGAACUGCUUGGCAUACUGCGCGCCUUGAGCCACUUAGGGGCAACUGGAACAAACGGUGGAGCGGUGAAAUGCGUAGAUAUCGUAAGGAACACCUGUGGCGAAAGCGGCUUACUGGGUCUUUUCUGACGCUGAUGCACGAAAGCUAGGGGAGCAAACGGG